CGACUCUGUCGAGAAAAAGGCUCCUAACAGAGGAAGCGAAAAAGACAGACCCCGAUCCUGCAGUUAAAACCUUCUUUAAGCUGGACCGUCACGACGGCACCAGCAACGGGACGGCACGGUUGCCCCAGCUGGGCACUGUAGGUCAAUCUCCCUACACGAGCGCCCCGCCGCUGUCCCACACCCCCAAUGCCGACUUCCAGCCCCCAUACUUCCCCCCACCCUACCAGCCUAUCUACCCCCAGUCGCAAGAUCCUUACUCCCACGUCAACGACCCCUACAGCCUGAACCCCCUGCACGCCCAGCCGCAGCCGCAGCACCCAGGCUGGCCCGGCCAGAGGCAGAGCCAGGAGUCUGGGCUCCUGCACACGCACCGGGGGCUGCCUCACCAGCUGUCGGGCCUGGAUCCUCGCAGGGACUACAGGCGGCACGAGGACCUCCUGCACGGCCCACACGCGCUCAGCUCAGGACUCGGAGACCUCUCGAUCCACUCCUUACCUCACGCCAUCGAGGAGGUCCCGCAUGUAGAAGACCCGGGUAUUAACAUCCCAGAUCAAACUGUAAUUAAGAAA
rnacentral:sRNA from 1 species